CUAGUUAGCCUCGAUCCCAGGCCGAGUUUUCGCUUUUAUAACGGUUAGGCGAACAACUAGGCCUGGUACUAGUUGUCUGCGCAUGCGUCAGUCGUUCGUCAGAUUCUGACGAAUGGAUAUUCUCGUUCACUUUCGUGACAUUUAUCGUGUACUAGAAGUCAGUUCCCGUUUUAUCAUUAUUGGAAUCGAUUGGAAUGGCUCUUAGCUGAAGCUUCUCUCUUCUCUGAAGCUUAGAAAACAUUAUUCUGAAGACUAAACAACAAGGGAAGAGGUAUAAAGCUUUGUCAAGCUUGUUAAGGAGCAAUGGCUAAUGUCCAGCUAUCCCAACAGUGCUCCUCUUGGCUAUACUAACGGACGAGACUGGACAGUUUGAAGAUUGGAGUAUGACCUGCUCGUUCGAGCGUUGCUGGGUAGCUCAGAGGCAUCAAGAGAAUCUACGUUUUCAAAAUUUAACUGAUUUACGAGUUGGGGCCUAGAAUCAGAGAAGUCUAGCAGCCUGCUAAAUCUUUUUGAAACGUAAUUUGAAGGCAUUCAAUCAUCCUGAAGUUGCCUUGGGUCACUGUAAUCGUGCUGCAGCACAACUGGCAACUCCCCAGGCCCUUGUAGCAGCUCUCUAUGUGCAUAGUUUGUGUACUCACUCUGUGCAUUUUCUGUGUACAAAUUUCGAAAUAUUUUUGCCGACCACAAAUACAACGAAAAUUUGACGCAUGCGCAGACAACUAGUACCAGGCCUAGUUGUUCGCCUAACCGUUAUAAAAGCGAAAACUCGGCCUGGGAU